rnacentral:misc_RNA from 1 species
GGUCGAUGAACAGGGUAAUCCUCCUUAGAUCGAGAAGACGUUCCCUUGCUGAUGUUCCUGCCUUUCCUUGAAGAACCUAUUGUGAUUGUAGGGAGAGCUCGUUUGAGGGAGCUCUAAACCUCUAGAUAAUUUGUAAAUAAUUCUGCCUGCCUUUAUUCAUGAAAUUGUUCUCUUUAAAUAGAGAUUACAUAACAGCAUUUUCCAAGA